rnacentral:sRNA from 1 species
UUAAACGUAAAUGCGAAAUACGGUGGAGC